rnacentral:rRNA from 1 species
UGGAUUUGGACAAUGGGCGCAAGCCUGAUCCAGCAAUGCCGCGUGUGUGAAGAAGGCCUGCGGGUUGUAAAGCACUUUCAGUCGGGAGGAAAAGCUCGAGGUUAAUACCCUCGUGUCUUGACGUUACCUACAGAAGAAGCACCGGCCAACUCCGUGCCAGCAGCCGCGGUAAUAC